AGACUGGAACUUACACCAGUGGCUCGCCCAGGCCUCCAGCUUGCCGACUGCUGAUUUUUGGACUUGACAGCCUCCACCUCCACAGCGGCAUGAAAAAUUCCUCAUCAUCAAUCUCUCUAUGCAUAUAUCCUAUCUAUCCUUUCGGUUCUAUUUCUCUGGGGACCCCUAGAACAACACGCAAGGUGAGAGGCCCUUGAGGAGGACUGACUGUGGCUCGCUGGUCUAAAGCUCUAAGCUGCUACUGCUGCUGACUCCAGCUCUGCAGAAGAUACAGUGGUGACAUCUCCUGGGGACCGCGCCGUCGGUGCUCCAGCUUUCAGGAAGCUCCCGCCUUGGGGUGAACAGACAGCAGGUAAAGAAGCCUCAUGCAGGGCAGCAGGGGAUACCCUGGAGAGGAAAGCGAGGCAAGAAACAGACACUGUGCCAGUGGCUCCUGAAGGGAUGCACACUCGGGGAUCUCGGAGAGGGUCCAGGCUUGGACAGCCAUGCUCCCAGACAAGAGCUUCUGCUGUGCUCCCAGAUGAGAGCCAGAGCCCCACCUGUCAGGAGGCCACACUCAUGCCCAGGACUUCUGGGCCUCGGCAGUGCUCCCAAGGGUGUGGCACCAGGUGCAGCAGGGCAGCGUUUGACUCGGAGCCUGAGACAUGUAUCUGAUACAAAUGGGGCUGUUCUGGAUGAGGGAGGGGGCACCCAGCCCCCAAGUCCGGCUCCCCAGCUCCCUGACUGCCCUGGCUCUGCUGAGCACCUUCGAGACCAUAUUGGAAGCUCUCAGCGAGGCUCCUGGACCCUGGCAUCCCCGAAACCCCCUGAGGGACCCACUUUGCCAGCUGCAUGUCUGUGUCGCACGGAACUGUCUCCUUGCUCUGCAAGCAGGUGGAAUGCAGGAGCAGGCAGGAAAAUCCAACUCUUCCGAGUCAGACACUCGAGAGCUCUGCAGACACGAAGACAAUGCCACGCCGCCCCCUAAAUGCUUUUUGUUUUGGAAAAUACAGCUGUUUGUCAUAAGAUAACCGGAAGCAGCAGAGAAAACAUCUGAAGUGCUUCCUGGACACACUGGUUAGGAAGUUUCUGCAAGAACCCAGGGAUAAUGAUGCCGGGGUUUCAGGCUUCAGGCCCAGCCCCAGGAAGAGAACGGCAGCAGGAAAAGUUAGAGAGCGAGGAGUGGGAGCAGGAGUGGAGAGCUCGGCCCCUCCUUCACUGCUGCCCUCUGGGUGACGCUCAGCGGAGGCACCACAUUGCGGCUGCGAGGGCCCCGAGACAACCUCUGCACCGUUUAUGGGAUCCCAUUAGGGGAGCAGCGGCCCUGCAUGACCCCACAGGUCAGGUGCUGAGAACACAAAAGAAAAUGAGACAAAGUCGCCACCCUGGAGUUUACAAGCUGGCGUGGGAGACAGGCUGGCACUGAGGACGACGGUGGAGAGACAGGGAGAGGCAGUGGAGAGACACCGGAAGAACCAGAGGUGCUGGGGAAGCCGGGUCAGCAGAGAGACCCCAGCAGAGUGGGAGCCGGAGGACGGCGGCGACUGCAGCCGACUGUUUCAGGUGGCGUCCUCGUCACGAGAGGACCUUGAGCGGUCAUGGGCUUCCUGGGAACCUGCCUACAGAGGAAACGAUUACUGGGUGCGGAUGUCUUGAACAUUUAUUGCAUUCCACGUUGUCAGUCAAUAAAACAGCUUUGCCAGCGUAAUACUGACAAAAUCAAGUUCAGGCUGUAAGCCCAAGGGCUUCCAAGAAAAGUGGAUCUGGUGUCCAGUGGGGGCACUGCCUGGUUCCCAGGCGGAGUCCAAACUGCAGGGAGAAACAAGGACCCUGCGGGAAGAAGGGACCUGCCCGACUGGUUCCCCCGCACCCACGUCAGGAAUUUUCCCAGAAAGCCAUCCACUUUGUUAGACGCAAAAUAAAGGUCAUUUGGAGAAAAA
rnacentral:lncRNA from 1 species